CUACGGUGAAUACGUUCCCGGACCUUGUACACACCGCCCGUCAAGCCAUGGAAGCUGGGUGUACCUAAAGUCGAUAACCGUAAGGAGUCGCCUAGGGUAAACUAGUAACUGGGCU
rnacentral:rRNA from 1 species